rnacentral:rRNA from 1 species
UAAGGCUGAGCUGUGAUGGGGAGAAGACAUUGUGUCUUCGAGUCGUUGAUUUCACACUGCCGAGAAAAGCCUCUAGAUAGAAAAUAGGUGCCCGUACCGCAAACCGACACAGGUAGUCAAGAUGAGAAUUCUAAGGUGAGCGAGCGAACUCUCGUUAAGGAACUCGGCAAAAUGACCCCGUAACUUCGGGAGAAGGGGUGCUCUUUAGGGUUAACGCCCAGAAGAGCCGCAGUGAAUAGGCCCAAGCGACUGUUUAUCAAAAACACAGGUCUCUGCUAAACCGUAAGGUGAUGUAUAGGGGCUGACGCCUGCCCGGUGCUGGAAGGUUAAGAGGAGUGGUUAGCUUCUGCGAAGCUACGAAUCGAAGCCCCAGUAAACGGCGGCCGUAACUAUAACGGUCCUAAGGUAGCGAAAUUCCUUGUCGGGUAAGUUCCGACCCGCACGAAAGGCGUAACGAUUUGGGCACUGUCUCAACGAGAGACUCGGUGAAAUCAUAGUACCUGUGAAGAUGCAGGUUACCCGCGACAGGACGGAAAGACCCCGUGGAGCUUUACUGUAGCCUGAUAUUGAAAUUCGGCACAGCUUGUACAGGAUAGGUAGGAGCCUUUGAAACGUGAGCGCUAGCUUACGUGGAGGCGCUGGUGGGAUACUACCCUAGCUGUGUUGGCUUUCUAACCCGCACCACUUAUCGUGGUGGGAGACAGUGUCAGGCGGGCAGUUUGACUGGGGCGGUCGCCUCCUAAAAGGUAACGGAGGCGCUCAAAGGUUCCCUCAGAAUGGUUGGAAAUCAUUCAUAGAGUGUAAAGGCAUAAGGGAGCUUGACUGCGAGACCUACAAGUCGAGCAGGGUCGAAAGACGGACUUAGUGAUCCGGUGGUUCCGCAUGGAAGGGCCAUCGCUCAACGGAUAAAAGCUACCCCGGGGAUAACAGGCUUAUCUCCCCCAAGAGUUCACAUCGACGGGGAGGUUUGGCACCUCGAUGUCGGCUCAUCGCAUCCUGGGGCUGUAGUCGGUCCCAAGGGUUGGGCUGUUCGCCCAUUAAAGCGGUACGCGAGCUGGGUUCAGAACGUCGUGAGACAGUUCGGUCCCUAUCCGUCGUGGGCGUAGGAAAUUUGAGAGGAGCUGUCCUUAGUACGAGAGGACCGGGAUGGACAUACCUCUGGUGUACCAGUUGUCGUGCCAACGGCAUAGCUGGGUAGCUAUGUGUGGACGGGAUAAGUGCUGAAAGCAUCUAAGCAUGAAGCCCCCCUCAAGAUGAGAUUUCCCAACUUCGGUUAUAAGAUCCCUCAAAGAUGAUGAGGUUAAUAGGUUCGAGGUGGAAGCAUGGUGACAUGUGGAGCU